AAUCUUCGGCAAUGGACGCAAGUCUGACGGAGCAACGCCCCGUGAGGGAAGAAGGUUUUCGGAUCGUAAAGCUCUGUUGUUAGGGAAGAACAAGUGCCGUUCAAAUAGGUCGGCACCUUGACGGUACCUAACCAUAAAGCCCCGGCUACCUACGUGCCAGCAGCCGCGGUAAUACGUAGGUGGCAAGCGUUGUCCGGAAUUAUUGGGCGUAAAGCGCGCGCAGGCGGUCUUUUAAGUCUGAUGUGAAAUCUUGCGGCUCAACCGCAAGCGGUCAUUGGAAACUGGGAGACUUGAGUGCAGAAGAGGAGAGUGGAAUUCCACGUGUAGCGGUGAAAUGCGUAGAGAUGUGGAGGAACACCAGUGGCGAAGGCGACUCUCUGGUCUGUAACUGACGCUGAGGCGCGAAAGCGUGGGGAGCAAACAG
rnacentral:rRNA from 1 species